UACGGGGGGGGCAAGCGUUGUUCGGAAUUACUGGGCGUAAAGGGCUCGUAGGCGGCCAACUAAGUCAGACGUGAAAUCCCUCGGCUUAACCGGGGAACUGCAUCUGAUACUGGAUGGCUUGAGUUCGGGAGAGGGAUGCGGAAUUCCAGGUGUAGCGGUGAAAUGCGUAGAUAUCUGGAGGAACACCGGUGGCGAAGGCGGCAUCCUGGACCAACACUGACGCUGAGGAGCGAAAGCUAGGGGAGCAAACAGG
rnacentral:rRNA from 1 species